GGGGGAGCUAUAAUGCAGUCGAGCGAACAGAUAAGGAGCUUGCUCCUUUGACGUUAGCGGCGGACGGGUGAGUAACACGUGGGUAACCUACCUAUAAGACUGGGAUAACUUCGGGAAACCGGAGCUAAUACCGGAUAAUAUUUCGAACCGCAUGGUUCGAUAGUGAAAGAUGGUUUUGCUAUCACUUAUAGAUGGACCCGCGCCGUAUUAGCUAGUUGGUAAGGUAACGGCUUACCAAGGCGACGAUACGUAGCCGACCUGAGAGGGUGAUCGGCCACACUGGAACUGAGACACGGUCCAGACUCCUACGGGAGGCAGCAGUAGGGAAUCUUCCGCAAUGGGCGAAAGCCUGACGGAGCAACGCCGCGUGAGUGAUGAAGGUCUUCGGAUCGUAAAACUCUGUUAUUAGGGAAGAACAUACGUGUAAGUAACUGUGCACGUCUUGACGGUACCUAAUCAGAAAGCCACGGCUAACUACGUGCCAGCAGCCGCGGUAAUACGUAGGUGGCAAGCGUUAUCCGGAAUUAUUGGGCGUAAAGCGCGCGUAGGCGGUUUUUUAAGUCUGAUGUGAAAGCCCACGGCUCAACCGUGGAGGGUCAUUGGAAACUGGAAAACUUGAGUGCAGAAGAGGAAAGUGGAAUUCCAUGUGUAGCGGUGAAAUGCGCAGAGAUAUGGAGGAACACCAGUGGCGAAGGCGACUUUCUGGUCUGUAACUGACGCUGAUGUGCGAAAGCGUGGGGAUCAAACAGGAUUAGAUACCCUGGUAGUCCACGCCGUAAACGAUGAGUGCUAAGUGUUAGGGGGUUUCCGCCCCUUAGUGCUGCAGCUAACGCAUUAAGCACUCCGCCUGGGGAGUACGACCGCAAGGUUGAAACUCAAAGGAAUUGACGGGGACCCGCACAAGCGGUGGAGCAUGUGGUUUAAUUCGAAGCAACGCGAAGAACCUUACCAAAUCUUGACAUCCUUUGACAACUCUAGAGAUAGAGCUUUCCCCUUCGGGGGACAAAGUGACAGGUGGUGCAUGGUUGUCGUCAGCUCGUGUCGUGAGAUGUUGGGUUAAGUCCCGCAACGAGCGCAACCCUUAAGCUUAGUUGCCAUCAUUAAGUUGGGCACUCUAAGUUGACUGCCGGUGACAAACCGGAGGAAGGUGGGGAUGACGUCAAAUCAUCAUGCCCCUUAUGAUUUGGGCUACACACGUGCUACAAUGGACAAUACAAAGGGCAGCGAAACCGCGAGGUCAAGCAAAUCCCAUAAAGUUGUUCUCAGUUCGGAUUGUAGUCUGCAACUCGACUACAUGAAGCUGGAAUCGCUAGUAAUCGUAGAUCAGCAUGUA
rnacentral:rRNA from 1 species